rnacentral:misc_RNA from 1 species
UUUCCGUAGGUGAACCUGCGGAAGGAUCAUUACAGAGUUCAUGCCCUCACGGGUAGAUCUCCCACCCUUGAAUAUUUAUACCUUAGUUGCUUUGGCAGGCCGUGGAAACACCAUGGGUUCCGGCUUAUGCGUGCCUGCCAGAGGAAACAAACUCUGUUUUUAGUGAUGUCUGAGUACUGUAUAAUAGUUAAAACUUUCAACAACGGAUCUCUUGGAUCUG